rnacentral:lncRNA from 1 species
AUCGGCCGGGCGCUCGUCGUCGCGGGGCAGGCGGCUCUCACGGGCUGCGCCCCCCCCGCGCCCUCCCCCACCUUCUCCCAUUCCUCGCAGGGGGUGUCGUAGAGCCGGGGGUCCCUCUGCCCCCUCACCCGCUGCCCCCCGCCGUGCCGUGGGCGCCCUGCGGCCUCGCGGGGGUCCUCAUUGCUGCCCUCGGGCGCUGCGUUCUGCUCAAAGGGCUCCGAGUAUUCGCUCUCGUUGGGGCCCUGCUCCAACCGGCCCGGACCCCCCACCCUCACCAGCCGGUGCCGGGGGGAGGCGGUCCCGGAGCCGGUUCCGGGGGGGCGGCGCUCACCGCCGCUGUAGUCGGGUUGUGGCGGGCGGGGGGGGAGCGCCGUGCCCCCCGGCCCAGGUAUUCCCGCAGCCAUUUGGCCAUCGGCACCGCGGGACCACCGGACCCCCCCGCAGCCGCCGCCGCCGCCGCCGCCGCCGC